UACAGAGGGUGCAAGCGUUAAUCGGAGUUACUGGGCGUAAAGGGCGCGUAGGCUGAUAUUUAAGUCGAUUGUGAAAUCCCUGGGCUCAACCUAGGAAUUGCAUUUGAUACUAAAUGUCUAGAGUAUGGCAGAGGAAAGUGGAAUUCUCGGUGUAGUGGUAAAAUACGUAGAUAUCGAGAAGAACACCGGUGGCGAAGGCGACUUUCUGGACCAAUACUGACGCUGAGGCGCGAAAGCAUGGGGAGCAAACAGG
rnacentral:rRNA from 1 species